CCCACUCUGUUCAUGUGAAAAGUGACACAGGCUUUGUUAUUUUGUUUUCUAUGACGGCGUCUGUUCGCUGCACUCCUCUAAGGAAAGACUACUUUACACAGAGAAGAGAUUGAAACCGACAGAAAGGCGAAUCAGAAAGCAAAGGAUCUGAUCCAUCAUCUUGUAUUUCACUCGCCUGUCCAUAAAAAACAAGCAUCAUGGGAAAAGGCCAGAGUGACGAUUGGGAAAAAAAGUACCCGGAUACUGUUCAAAGUCAGCCGACCAAACACGAAAGCCAAACGGAGAACAGAAGCUCAAAGAGUAAAUGUCCAAAAUGCUGCUUGAAGACGAGGGACUGUCUCAUGAGUCCGGAGUGUGGCAGGGCGCUUCAGAUCUCCAGUGUCAUCGCCUGGUGUGGGAUGUGUAUCCGCAUGUUUGUUUAAUGUAUUAUGGACGAUGGAGCCAGCUGAUUAUCAGCAUCGUCUGCACAAAGAAGAAAACAAACAGCAUCUUGUUUCUUGCUAACCAGAGAUGAUUACUACAUGGAUGAUUCAUCAGUUUCAUUUUCUAAAUACUACUUUUAGAGUCUAUCUACGGGUUAUUUAUUAAACACAAACAAAUUAAAUGAGCGUUUUUGCGUAAAACUGAAGGUAAAUGAAUGAAUGAAGAAAUAUUAUGUAUUAAAUGUCCUUGGUGAUGGGGCCUUGGGCGUUGAAGCAGAUAUCAUACAAUCAAAUGAAAUGUAUGUCUUUUAUAAAAAUGAAGGUAGAACAAAGUUUAAUAGUCGUGCAUUUAAUAGAAUCGGUACAUGAAUGAAUAUAGUGUACAAAUGUGAGGACUCCAGAACAAAACAAACAACAUGUAUUAUUAUUAUUAUUAUUAUUAUUAUUAUUAUUAUUAUUAUUAUUAUUAUUAUUAUUAUUAUAUCAUUCUGACUAUUACUGUUACAACUUUAUUAAAACUUCUAUCCUGUGAUUAUUAAACUAUACAUAUAUAAUAUACAACAUAAUUAGCCAUUUAUUAUUGUUGUUAUUACUUUAUUAUUACUACCUUGCUACUUGUUGUUUCUACUGGUACUUUACAAUGUGCAAUUGCCUGUUUCUUUCAAUUCAUUUUUUUUUAAGAGUUAUUAUUUUGCUAUUUUCUUGUGUUAUUUCUUCUUUGUAUAUUAGGUGUUGUGCUGCUAUUGAAACCUCAAUUUCCUGAGGGCUCUGCCGAAAAGAUCAAUAAAUUUCUAUCAAAUCGAACCGAACUGAAUCGAAUCGAAUCUAACAUAAAGUUCAUGUAAGCAAAUUGUACAAAUUGAAACUUUAAGUUGUAAUAGCUUGGCUAAAAAAAACUGUUUACACCCAUAACACAUGCCAUUAAAUAAUGUAUCACUUAUGUUAUGAAUGUUAUGUCAAU